rnacentral:rRNA from 1 species
AUUGAACGCUGGCGGCAUGCCUUACACAUGCAAGUCGAACGGUAACAGGUCUUCGGAUGCUGACGAGUGGCGAACGGGUGAGUAAUACAUCGGAACGUGCCCGAGAGUGGGGGAUAACGAGGCGAAAGCUUUGCUAAUACCGCAUACGAUCUCAGGAUGAGAGCAGGGGACCGCAAGGCCUUGCGCUCACGGAGCGGCCGAUGGCAGAUUAGGUAGUUGGUGGGAUAAAAGCUUACCAAGCCGACGAUUUGUAGCUGGUCUGAGAGGACGACCAGCCAAACUGGGACUGAGACACGGCGCAGCCUCCUACGGGAGGCAGCAGUGGGGAAUUUGGGACAAUGGGCGCAAGCCUGAUCCAGCAAUGCCGCGUGCAGGAUGAAGGCCUUCGGGUUGUAAACUGAUUUUGUACGGAACGAAAAGACUCCUUCUAAUAAAGGGGGUCCAUGACGGUACCGUAAGAAUAAGCACCGGCUAACUACGUGCCAGCCGCCGACGUAAAAC